CGGCCCCGCUCGCCCGGCGUGGGAAGGAAAUGCCACCCUGCGCUGGGAACGAAAGGGCUGGGAGAGCCCGGACGCCUGGGUCCCCUCCUAGCAGGGGAGGUUCAAGCGCAGGGGCCAGGACGCCUGGGCCCCCUCCUCCUCGGAGGCGAGGCGGGGAGGGAGGAAGCCUCUGCUCUGGGAAAAACACUUCCCCUCCAGCGCUCCGGAGCUGUUCCCGGCAGGAAGGAGCUCUGAGCUGCGGGGCAGAGACGCAGCAAAGCCAUGGUCUGCUCGCGGGAGACCGGCACCCGGAGACUGAGCUGAAGGUGCCGUCRCGGUCGGUGCCAGCCUGCGGCCGCCCGAGGAAGCCAGCGACGGGGACAGAGCUGUGAGCGGGGCCGGGAGAGGGGGGUCCGCGGGCCGGCUCCGGGGCUGGUCCCCAUCGCUGGGCACGUCGGUCACCUGCGCCGUCGCCUUGCCCCAUUGCAGGCGCCGGAGGGGACGCUCCAUGCGGAGCUGAAGCGGCCGCGGCCGA
rnacentral:lncRNA from 1 species